UUUUUUAUUUUUUUUUUUUUAUUAUAAAGUCGGCGAGGAUGACAGCCAUGGACAAUGCUUCUUCAAGCGCAACGGAUAUGCUGGAAUCAAUAUCCUUAAGAUUUAACCGUGCGAGACAAUCAAAAAUUACCCUAGAACUGAUUGAAAUUAUAUCUGGUGCUAAUGCGUUAUAAUGAA